ACCAGUAUUUGUAUUUCCCCACGUCCGGCUUUUACUGGGUUAUGCUUCCUUACUUUCUCUUUUCAUAAUUUACUUACGGAGUACUUCGUAUAAAAAUUACAAUAAUAAUUUAUGUUGGGGGCGGUUUACGGUGGUCAUGGAAGUCAAAAUCCGCUAAGGAAUGUGUAACAAUACCCCGCCGAUUCAACUAGCCCCGCAAAUGGGUGACACUGAAGCGCGUGACUUAUACUUACUCGCCUGGGCAAGUGAAGAGUAGGAGGGCGCAUCGGUCACUGCAAAACCUGUGGCGUGAGCCAGGGUAGAGUUGUUGCGGUGGUAGUAGCAAGUAUUCAAAUGAGAACUUUGAAGGCCGAAGAGGAGAAAUGUUCCCUGUGAACGACACUUGCACGUGGGCUAGUCGAUCCUAAGAGACGGGGGAAGCCCGCCCGAUUUCCCCCCAUCCGAUAGCGCGUUCCGCGGGAGUUUCGUAAGGAGAUUGGAUUAAAAUUUCAUGAAACGGAAGUGGCGGUUAACGAUAACGUUAUGAAGUCCGGAGACAUCGGCGGGAGCCUCGGGAAGAGUUCUUUUUUCUACGUUUUUUUUGUUGUAUCGCGAGAUAAGGGUAACUUUCUUAAGAUACAUCCGUGAUUUUUAUAAGCUACUACGUACAAAGGAUGAGCUUACAGAAUAGAGAUUAUAGAAAUACAAUUAAAGGAAAUUGGUGGUAACAUAAGUCCCAAUUGAGCUAACAAAAUGAAAUUAUACCUUACAAUCGAAUUCUUAUGAGGCUUCUCUGUUAAGUCUUUUAUUGUU
rnacentral:ncRNA from 1 species